rnacentral:rRNA from 1 species
CCUACGGGCGGCAGCAGUCGAGAAUCAUUCACAAUGGCGGAAACGCUGAUGGUGCGAAGCCGCGUGGGGGAAUGAAGGUCUUCGGAUUGUAAACCUCUGUCAUGUGGGAGCAAAUUAAAAAGAUAGUACAACAAGAGGAAGAGACGGUUAACUCUGUGCUAGCAGCCGCGGUAAAACAGAGGUCUCAAGCGUUGGUCGGAAUCACUGGGCGUAAAGCGUGCGUAGGCUGUUUCGUAAGUCGUGUGUGAAAGGCGCGGGCUCAACCAGCAGACGGCACAUGAUACUGCGAGACUAGAGUGUGUUUGGGGUAACCGGAAUGCUCGGUGUAGCAGUGAAAUGCAUAGAUAUCGAGCGGAACUCUGAUGGCGAAGGCAGGUUCCUAGGCAUUAACUGACGCUGAAGCACGAAGGCCAGGGGAGCGAAAGGGAUUAGAUACCCUGGUAGUC